AACGAACGCUGGCGGCGUGCCUAACACAUGCAAGUCGUGCGAGAAAGUUCCUUCGGGAGCGAGUAAAGCGGCGCACGGGUGAGUAACACGUAGGUAACCUGCCCCCCAGUCUGGAACAACUAGAGGAAACUCUAGCUAAUGCCGGAUGAGACCACGAUCCCUUCGGGGGUUGCGGCCAAAGAUGGCCUCUACUUGUAAGCUAUCGCUGAGGGAUGGGCCUGCGGGCCAUUAGCUUGUUGGUGAGGUAACGGCUCACCAAGGCUGUGAUGGCUAGCUGGUCUGAGAGGAUGACCAGCCACACUGGGACUGAGACACGGCCCAGACUCCUACGGAGGCAGCAGUGGGAAUAUUGCGCAAUGGGCGAAAGCCUGACGCAGCGACGCCGCGUGGGUGAUGAAGGCC
rnacentral:rRNA from 1 species